rnacentral:misc_RNA from 1 species
UAUUGGUCUGUGUGUGUGAAU